CGCGUAGGCGGCUAAUUAAGUCAAAUGUGAAAUCCCCGAGCUCAUCUUGGGAAUUGCAUUCGAUACUGGUUAGCUAGAGUGUGCCCAUAGGAUGGUAUAAUUCCAGGUGUAGCGGUGAAAUGCGUAGAGAUCUGGAGGAAUACCGAUGGCGAAGGCAGCCUUCUGGCCUAACACUGACGCUGAGGUGCGAAAGCAUGGGGAGUAAACAGGAUUAGAUACCCUGGUAGUCCGUGCCGUAAACGAUGUCUACUAGCCAUUGGGGCCUUUGAGGCUUUAGUGG
rnacentral:rRNA from 1 species